GAAAUGCGAUAAUUAAUGUGAAUUGCAGAAUUCAGUGAAUCAUCGAGUCUUUGAACGCACAUUGCGCCCCCUGGUAUUCCGGGGGGCAUGCCUGUCCGAGCGUCAUUGCUGCCCUCAAGCACGGCUUGUGUGUUGGGCUUCCGUCCCUGGCAACGGGGACGGGCCCAAAAGGCAGUGGCGGCACCAUGUCUGGUCCUCGAGCGUUGGGGCUUUGUCACCCGCUCCCGUAGGUCCAGCUGGCAGCUAGCCUCGCAACCAAUCUUUUUAACCAGGUUGACCUCGGAUCAGGUAGGGAUACCCGCUGAACUUAAGC
rnacentral:misc_RNA from 1 species